rnacentral:misc_RNA from 1 species
UCGUAGAGCUUCGGCUCUUUCGAGGGAGAACCCUUGCCUUUUCGAGCACCUGUUUGUUUCCUCGGCAGGCCCGCCUGCCAAUGGGGACCUUUUUAAACCCUUGCGAUAACCUGAACAAAAAUCGUCUGAACAAAAAAAAAUCUAAAUCAAAACUUUCAACAACGGAUCUCUUGGUUCUGGCAUCGAUGAAGAACGCAGCGAAAUGCGAUAAGUAGUGUGAAUUGCAGAAUUCAGUGAAUCAUCGAAUCUUUGAACGCACAUUGCGCCCUAUGGUAUUCCGUAGGGCAUGCCUGUUCGAGCGUCAUUUACACCUUCAAGCUUUGCUUGGUAUUGGGUGACUGUGGCCCCUGGGCCACUCGCCUCAAAGUCAUUGGCGGCCGGUACUUGGGCUUCGAGCGCAGCACAUGUGCGUCCUCGGGCCUCUUGAAUCGGCUCCCAGAAGCUAAAUCUCAAUUGUUUGACCUCGAAUCAGGUAGGGAUACCCGCUGAACUUAAGCAUAUCAAUAAGCGGAGAUCGGCAUCUUGGUCAUUUAGAGGAAGUAAAAGUCGUAACAAGGUUUCCGUAGGUGAACCUGCGGAAGGAUCAUUAACGAGUUUUAAUUGUUAGGUUAGAGUUGAGCUGGUUAAUCUAAUUAAUAUGUGCUUACUCUAAUCGAAACAAGUCCACUCAUUACUUAACACUUGUGAACUUAUUCAUUACAAACAUUAUUAUUUGUUAUUGGAACGUUUGAUUAUUAAAAAGUUAAUA